GCCUAGUUGACGAGUCCCAAAUAGGACGCAACGCGCGUCUUGGAU
rnacentral:hammerhead_ribozyme from 1 species